UGUAUUUGAACGAACCGCAUUCUUAUCACUCUCAAUUCACCACGAUUCAUUCCUCUCCCAUCCUUAAUUUCAGUUUCCCCCUAAAAACUAAUUCUCUUAUAUAUUUUCUACUGACAGCUGACAUAAAAAUCCAUUUGAUGUUAAGAUAUUAAUGUCUUCCAUUGAUAAUUUAGGGUUCAACAUGCUGUUUCGGUUGGAAGCUAUGCAAUUUAUUUCCUAUUUUCCACUUAACCAGGAUCAAAUAUAGGGUUCAAAAGGAUCUGGGUUAAGAAAAGAAUGAGUUGAAAUCUAAGAGUUCAUCCGUAUUGAUUGGUUGAAAUGAUGUUUCUGCUAGGAAAGGGAGUUCCAUUGACAGGAUACUCAGAAGUCAGAAACAGGUAAAAGAUAAUAAACAUAUCAUAUUGCAGAAGUAUCGAUUGGCUUGGGCAAAUAGGUUAAUUCACCCAAUUCAUUAUCAGAUCACAAGAGGAAUCCCAAGGAGUAAUUCGGCUGCUUAUCAAAUUGUUCUACACUUGCUGAAUCUUUCUAACUUUAGUACGUUAUGUUUAUAUUCACAUUUUGGUUGGCUAUACGAGUACUGAACCUUGGAAUUUUGUACAACAACUUAGAGAUGCAGGGUUAAUUUUCUGCGGGUUGCCUACAAAGUAUGAAGCCCCAAGGUUUGUUUUUGCAGAGUCCUCUUUUGCCAUGGUUGGAUUUACGGAUUGACCAGUUUCACCAGCGGCUUGGUGGCAACUUUCCCGUAGGGAGCUUUAUCUGUUUUGUGCUGAGUAGUAAGUGUUCCUUGAAUUUGUGAAAAUAAGUUAUAGUCCACAUACCACAGGGUUAUUGUGGUUUCCCAACCAAAGAUGAGAAGGUAUACAUCUUAGAGUACCAAAACAAUUAUAACUAAAAGAAACGAGAUAAUAAAACACUAUGUCACUGACUAAAUCCUUUGUUCCAGAACCAACAACAUGAUUGAGAAAAUCAAAUUCUCUGUAGUUCUGUAUAUGAAAUGUUAUCUACGUACACAAUCGCAAGAUGGUAAACAAGCAAUCCCAUAGGUAAAGAAAAAAAAAACAGACCGACAUGCAGUACCAGUAUACCAUCAGCUUUUCUAUACUCCAACUGAUACAGGAGUACUGCAGCGAUGAAGACGUAUACAUAGGUUGGUUAUGAGUUAUAUAUGACGAUCAUAGCAUUGGGGCUCAGGGAAUAACCGUACCAGAAUCAAGCUGUAUUCCCCGGUGCGAAGCACGGGUUACUAUCUAGCAAGUCCAUGAACUAGAAAGUUUACAUUUGUGAGACUACGUGUCCAAAAUAGGAAAUGUUAAAUACUUAAAGACUAAGUAGUCUUUGGAUGACCCUUAUCUUGAUCAGCUGUGGAGGUGGAGGAUCAUCUAAAGUUCUUCCGGAGACUUGCUUAGUGAAUGGUGGGCCACCCACGUUCACAUAACAUAGUAUUAGUAGUAUAAAUACGGACUAGUACUAUAUACGGACCGCAAUUUUUAACAGGAACAGAAAAUGAAAGUAGGAAUUACCAAUAGGUAUUAUUACGGUAGUCUUAGUUAAUGGCAGGUCCACCCAUUAAAGUCCAGUAAGCAUAGGUCCAUAAUUAAAAGAAAACAUGAAACUGGACCUAAUUUUUUAAGCCUAGGUCCUGUACACGUGCGGGACACAUGUGACGUAUUAUCAUAAUUUCCAAAACACCCCGCACUAUAUAAAAACGGAUAGAGACGUUCGUUUCUUUUUCAUUCUCUCAAUUUAUUUUUUCAUAGAAGAGCUCUGCAAGUGAAGAUUAUUUGAGGUGUGAGUUCGAUUCAUGAGUUCGAGCUCUGCAAGUGUAAUCGGUAGGUGGAUUUUUUGUAACGAUUCGAGAUCAGAUUUUACCUUGUCUUUUAGAUCUGAAUCCAUGGCGACUGUGUCAAGAUUUGUUGGAUGAGUAAAAGGAAUUGAUUU